rnacentral:rRNA from 1 species
AUGUGGGUCCCACAUGUGAUGACUGGUCUUCUUUCAAAAGAAACCUCCCUUCCAAAAACAACUCCCCCUCGGCACCCAGAUCCAGAGAGAAGAGGAGGUGCGCCCUCGACGCCGGUGAGGUCCAGCCGUCGCCGCAUGUCCUCGCCCUCGUGGUCGUCGGGAUCCAGGGCCUGCACCGUAGCAAGAAGUAGUGGCGGCGCGCAGCAUGGGCGUGAGCAACGGCACGGCGGCACGGAACACCGGUGCAAGCAGCGGCGCGGCAGCCCGCAGCACGUGCGUGAGCAACGGCGCGGUGGCGCGCCAGCAGCAGCAGCGGAGCAAGCAGCAACGACGCGGCGUCGCGGAAGCAGCAGCAACGACGGUGCGGCGACGCGGAAGCAGAGCAACGGCGGCACGGCGAUGCGGAAGCAGCGGCGGCGGCGCGCAAGCAGGAGCAGCGGAGCAACAAAAUGGGAGGAAGCAGCAGCAGCGGGCGCCAGGGAAGCAGCAGCGGCGGCGCGGCAACUGAGCAAUAGUAGCGAAGCAAGCAGCAGCCGUGCGGCGGCGCCCAAACAGCAGCUACGGCUUGGCAGGAGCUGA